UAUGGCCGGAUCUGGCGUCCGCGCUGGCAACCUCGAUAUGCUGCUUAAUGCAGGCGUAAAAGAGGUUCACAGCUCCGCCGGUGGGUGGAACCCUUCACCAAUGCGCUACCGCAACCCUGGAUUAUCCAUGUCGACGGACCCGAACGCAGAUGAGUAUCAGCGUUAUGCGGUAAACGGCAGGGCGGUGGCAGAAAUGAAGGCGAUCGUUACCCGCUUUAGCCAACAGAAUUAACGAUUUUUACCGCGCAUCAUGUCGCCCAUAUGAUGCUUGUUUGUACCAGGCCCCUGCAUUUACAGGGGCCUUUUUUU
rnacentral:ncRNA from 1 species